GGCUCGGUGGUCUGGGGGUAUGAUUCUCGCCGGGUGCGAGGGUCCCGGGUUCAAUUCCCGUUCGAGCCC